CUAGCUGGUCUGAGAGGAUGACCAGCCACACUGGAACUGAGACACGGUCCAGACUCCUACGGGAGGCAGCAGUGGGGAAUAUUGCACAAUGGGCGCAAGCCUGAUGCAGCCAUGCCGCGUGUAUGAAGAAGGCCUUCGGGUUGUAAAGUACUUUCAGCGGGGAGGAAGGGAGUAAAGUUAAUACCUUUGCUCAUUGACGUUACCCGCAGAAGAAGCACCGGCUAACUCCGUGCCAGCAGCCGCGGUAAUACGGAGGGUGCAAGCGUUAAUCGGAAUUACUGGGCGUAAAGCGCACGCAGGCGGUUUGUUAAGUCAGAUGUGAAAUCCCCGGGCUCAACCUGGGAACUGCAUCUGAUACUGGCAAGCUUGAGUCUCGUAGAGGGGGGUAGAAUUCCAGGUGUAGCGGUGAAAUGCGUAGAGAUCUGGA
rnacentral:rRNA from 1 species